GUGUAGCUCAGCUGGCUAGAGCGUAUGCUUGCCAAGCAUAAGGUCGGGAGUUCGAUCCUCCUCAC
rnacentral:tRNA from 1 species